GGAGUCUGGACCGUAUCUCAGUUCCAAUGUGGCCGUUCAACCUCUCAGUCCGGCUACCGAUCGCAGACUUGGUGGGCCGUUACCCCGCCAACUAUCUAAUCGGACGCAAGCUCAUCUUCGUGCGAUAAAUCUUUGGCAUAAGAGCCAUGCGACUCCUAUGCGUUAUGCGGUAUUAGCAACUGUUUCCGGUUGUUAUUCCACACACAAAGGCAGAUUGCUUACGCGUUACUCACCCGUCCGCCACUCACUGUAUUUCUACAGUUCGUUCGACUUGAAUGUGUUAGGCACGCCGCCAGCGUUCAUC
rnacentral:rRNA from 1 species